AGAGUUUGAUUCCCUGGCUCAGGACGAACGCUGGCGGCGUGCUUAACACAUGCAAGUCGAACGGAAAGGCCCUUCGGGGUACUCGAGUGGCGAACGGGUGAGUAACACGUGGGUGAUCUGCCUCGUACUUUGGGAUAAGCCUGGGAAACUGGGUCUAAUACCGAAUAUGACCUCUGGAUGCAUGUCUGGUGGUGGAAAGUUUUUCGGUACGAGAUGGGCCCGCGGCCUAUCAGCUUGUUGGUGGGGUAAUGGCCUACCAAGGCGACGACGGGUAGCCGGCCUGAGAGGGCGACCGGCCACACUGGGACUGAGACACGGCCCAGACUCCUACGGGAGGCAGCAGUGGGGAAUAUUGCACAAUGGGCGCAAGCCUGAUGCAGCGACGCCGCGUGAGGGAUGACGGCCUUCGGGUUGUAAACCUCUUUCACCAGGGACGAAGAGUGAUAGACGGACCUG
rnacentral:rRNA from 1 species